UCCAGCCUGCCCAGUGAUAAAAAUUCAACGGCCACGGUAUCCUAACCGUGCGAAGGUAGCAUAAUCACUUGUUCUUUAAAUGGGGACUCGUAUCAACGGCAUCACGAGGGUUACACUGUCUCCUUUUUCCGAUCAGUUAAACUAAUCUCCCCAUGAAGAAGCGGGGAUAUAAAUAUAAGACGAGAAGACCCCAUGGAGCUUAAAACCUACUACACCCCUAAUUUGUAUAACUUCACAACCUCUAGGGCCCUGUAUCGUCGGUUUUGGGUUGGGGCGACCACGGAGUAGAACAAAACCUCCACAAUGAACGGGACCACCACCUUAUCUAAGAAUCACCUUUCUAAGAAUUAAAAUAUUAACAUAUAUGAUCCAUUUUUUGAUCAAUGAACCAAGUUACCCUGGGGAUAACAGCGCAAUCCAUUUUGAGAGCUCCUAUCGACAAAUGGGUUUACGACCUCGAUGUUGGAUCAGGGUACCCCAGUGGUGCAGCAGCUACUAAUGGUUCGUUUGUUCAACGAUUAAAACCCU
rnacentral:rRNA from 1 species